GCGCCAGUGGCGGAACUGGAAGACGCACCUGCCUCAGGAGCAGGCGAGCUCGACUCAUGCAGGUUCGACCCCUGCCUGGCGCA
rnacentral:tRNA from 1 species